UACAGAGGUCCCGAGCGUUGUUCGGAUUCACUGGGCGUAAAGGGUGCGCAGGUGGUUUGGCAAGUUUGAUGUGAAAGCCCCGGGCUUAACCCGGGAAUGGCAUUGAAUACUGCUUGAACUGGAGGGUUGGAGGGGGGACUGGAAUUCUUGGUGUAGCAGUGAAAUGCGUAGAUAUCAAGAGGAACACCAGUGGCGAAGGCGAGUCCCUGGACAAACCCUGACACUGAGGAGCGAAAGCGUGGGGAGCGAACAGG
rnacentral:rRNA from 1 species